GAUAGCCGAAGAUCACGGCAGGGCUCAAGGUGGGGUUGGUGAUCAUGCGCACGUCACCACCACCCGGUGCCCAGGUGUCGUAGACACCGCCGAAGAACAUGGCCUUGAAGACCAGCAGCAAGGCGCCGACGCCCAGCAGGAUCAGGUGAUAACCAAUGAUGUUGGUCAUCUGGUUCUUGUCACGCCA
rfam:Synechococcus sp. SynAce01, complete genome.